CCACCUCUUUUCAAAAUUCUAGAGUAGAAUUUCGAAGGCAGAAUUAUUAACACACUGUAACAGCAAAAAAUUGAAGAAGAUGCAGGGAGCAUUAAUACUAGUACUGUCUACAUUCAUCUUAAGAGGGUCAAGUUUUAAGAUUGAGGAAUUAACCAAAGAUGACUUACUUCACUAUUUUGGAACGGUAGACCAUUCACAAGUUUCCGGUUAUGACACUACGGUUGUUUCGAGACGCGACACGGGCGCACACAAACGCUCGGUGGAGGCUACAGCCUCAUAUUCAUUCAACGCACUUGGAGAAAAGUUUAAACUCAGCUUAGAGAUGAAUUUAAAUUUAUUUUCAAAUGACUUCGUAAUUGAGCGAAUUGGCGCCAAUGGUAGUAGCACGCUGGACAAGCCUAAAAACACGAACUGUUACUACGUCGGAUCGUCUGCCAACCAUAACAAUUCACUUGCCGCCGUCAGCACUUGCAAUGGUCUGGAAGGAAUGGUCAACACGGGUAAAAACAGUUUUUUCAUAAAACCCCUAAAACCUGAACACCGUAGACGAAGGAGUUUAAGGUCCACUGAUGGGGAGACAACACACGUGGUAUUUACACGGGAAGAUUCAGCCGGGACCUGUGGUGUGACCCCAGAUGACGAAGGAGAGCAAUUGCUAAGAACUAGAAGCUUGGAUACAGAAAUUGCUCCUGGAAAACUUGUAACAGGCAAGAAGAAUCUUGAGACUCUAAUAGUUGCUGGACACACAAUGUUUUCUCACUACGGAAAUGACGUAGAAAAGUACCUCCAAGUUAUUAUGAAUAUUGUGGCAUCUAUAUUUAGUCAAAACAGCAUAGGAGUUGAUAUGCAAUUAACUGUUAUCCGGUUCGUUAUCAUCGAAGAGGAAAGCAAUGGGCCAAAUUUAAAGCCGGACACGUAUGGCCUAGAAGCCCAUAAUGCACUCAAAAGUUUCUGUGAUUGGCAUCUAGAGCGUUAUAAAGCACUAAACCCAGACGUUGCUGCAAUUGUCACAAGGUACGAUUUGUAUCGUAAAUCAGACGAUGGAUCGAUCGACUCAAAAACAACCGGACUUGCAGGUGUGGGAGUUACAUGUAACGCUGCCAAUCGGUGCUCUAUCAACGAGGAUAGCGGCCUAGGAACUGCUACUACGAUAGCGCACGAGAUGGGUCACAAUCUUGGAAUGAAACACGACGGCGAUAAGAAUGACUGUUCUCCAAUGAAGAACGUAAUGGCGUCUAUGACAGCACAAGGAAUGGAUGGUAUGCAGUGGUCAACAUGCAGUGCUCACUAUCUCAAUGUAUACCUUCAAGAACGAGAGGUUAAUUGUUUGGACAACAGUAGUCCAGCAGAUAUUUUUGACAUAUCAUUGAAUGGUCGUUUUCCGGGUGAAGUAUACAGCACUGAUGAACAAUGUAAAUUCACAUUCGAGGACAGUAUCGGAGAAUGCAAUUUCAAGAAGGGAGAUUGUACCGAGCUGUGGUGUGAGAAACCUGGGAAUGAAUGCUUCACUAUGGGAACUCCAAUGCUUGAGGGAACUGAAUGUCUUCCCGGAAAGUGGUGCCGUAAAGGUGUUUGUACUGACUUUGGAUCUGAAGGACCGGCUGCCGUGGAUGGUGGUUGGUCAGAGUUUGAUUCAGCUUGGAGUGAUUGUUCUCGAACAUGUGGCGGCGGUAUGCGGAGCAAGACCCGGCGAUGCGAUAAUCCUCCACCAGCAUUUGGUGGGAAGGUUUGUCAAGGAGAGUCAAUUAUUUACGACAUAUGUAAUCUACAGUAUUGUGAGAGUUCCCAGCUUCUGUUUGUCGAAGAACAGUGCGCCCAACAGAGAGACCAUCCAUCUGGAGAAGGCUUCGAAUGGCAACCGAAUUAUUAUUAUAAUCUUGAAAGUUUCUGCAAAAUGAACUGUGCCCGUAUUGAGGGACAAACAAUUUACUCGUUAGAAUUCGGAGAAUUUAUCGAUGGUUCCCGUUGUGACUUUAACGAUAGCUAUGGCGGAUAUAAGAUGUGUAUUGCAGGUCGAUGUGAAAAUGUUGGGUGCGAUGGCAAACUUAAUUCUGGAAAGCUGUUCGAUAUCUGUGGAAUAUGCGGCGGAGACGGCAGCCAAUGCAGUCCAAACACUGGAGUACAAAAAGUUGGCGUGUUUGGAGAAUUUACCGAGGUUGUUACAAUACCAGUCGGAGCAACCAACGUUAUUGCUAUGGACAAAGGGAAGUAUACUUUCUUAGGCAUGAAAUUCAACGGCGAGAUGGUAAUUGGUACGGGUAAUCAACGGUCACAGACGGGACUGGCGUCGGCAGGUCUGGAUACAAUUUACUAUUCUCGCGAUGAGCCUGACUACCUUACUAUAAAGGGACCAACCACAGCAAGUAUUGAGAUAAUGGUUUUCAAACAAUAUGGCUCUGAAUAUGGCGAUGUAGUGCAGCCAAUGGCAGGUUUCAGAUACUACCAGAAGAACGCCGGAGGAGUUGCCAAAUGGACAGCUGGUCCUUGGUCGACCUGCUCGAAAAGUUGUGGUUCAGGCAAAGAGACGCGUGAUGUUACGUGUACUCUUGAUGGACAAUUAGUUGCAAAUACAAUGUGUAAUGAUGCUCAACCCAUUGACCAGCGAUCGUGUGACGCAGGCACAUGUCCAGUAAAUAAUUGGAUCAUCGGAAAAUAUGGUCAGUGUUCUGUAACGUGUGGCGAUGGCAUAAGAGUGAGAACAGUUACUUGCCGAAGUUCUGCUGACAAAGAGAAAUUGCCAGAUUCAGAAUGUAAUCCAGAUACAAAACCAGACGGAGAGCCGGAGCCAUGUUCAAAACCAGCAUGCACAACUAAAGGUUGUAACAUGAAACAUGAUGCCGACUCUGGUUCAUUUAGCUCACCGAACUACCCAAAUAAAUACAUGGCGAAUGCUGACUGUGUGACGAAAAUUAGAGUCAAGAAUCGUCACCGUGUUCGAAUCACCUUCAAUGUGUUCAAAUUACAGAAUUCUGGUAACUGCCAAAAAGACUACGUUAGACUGACUGAUGAAGGUACCGGAACAGAGGCUAUCUUCUGUGGCUCUCGAUCAUCAUUCGAAUGGACUUCGGAGACUAACAUGGUAAAAGUGGAGUUUCAUAGCGACAAAGGAACGAGUAAGAAGGGCUUCCAAGCUGACUAUGAAAGCUUUGAGGCAGAAGAAACAGAGGCGGAUGCGGCAAGUUGCGAUAUGACGUUAGCUGGAUCUAAAGGGUCAAUCUCGUCUCCGAAUUAUCCUGAUCAUAACUACGAUAACAAUGAUAACUGUAAGGUUGUAAUAGAUGCAAAUGACAACGAUAAUAUUGAGGUUACAUUUGAAGAAUUCGAACUUGAGGAGGCACCAAAUUGUAUCUAUGAUUACUUGAAGAUCACACAUAGUGUAGACGGCAAAUUGACAUCGUCAAAGUAUUGUGGAUCUAGAGUAGAUAUGGUCUUGCAGUUCACUGGUGGGAUCACAUUAUUGUUUCACAGUGAUGAAUCGGCCACUUAUAAGGGAUACCAUGCGACUUACAGAAUCAUCAAGGAUCGUAGAAAGAGAUCUGUAGAAGACACACAAGUCAAGCAAUCUGUACAAGUUGCAGAAUUGCCUCCAACAGAAGCAGACAAUGUGAUCAAUAGAUUUGGACCAGAAGUCGUCACUGUCCAGUUAGUCCCAGAAGAAGCAGAAAUUGAUUCGAAGAUAAUGGAACCAGAACUUGUUACUGUCCAGUUAGUUCCAGAAGAAGCCUAAAAUGUUUAAUUACAUCUAUGUUGGCAUUAUGUGCAAUCCCGUUUCCAUAAGACAUUAAGAGUAUCUUUUAAUCUACCAAUUCAAAAUGUUCAUUGUAAUGUUUAGUAUAAUUAUUAACAUAUAUUUAACUAUUAUAUUUAUUAAGUUGAUUUAUUUAUAAAAAAAUAUAUUCGCAAAUUAUAAUUUUGAUUAGGGUUGCGUAUAGGCCUAUUUUGUAUAGCCAAAUUGUAUUAUUUUAAGAGUAAAAUGAAUUUACAUAUUUUGUCAUUUUGAAUAAAUAUACAAAUUGCCUACUUCAUAUCGAACACUGGGGUACUUCAGUGCAAUAGCAGGAUAAAGUAGAUAUCUUUCAUUCAAGAAAAGCAGUGGUAUAAUAUUAUACAGUAGGCCUAUAUUAUUAGAUUCAGUAUACUGUAAUAUACAUUUCAAUUUCUGCUUAACCAUAGAUUCAAUUACACCAAUUUUACAAUGCGCACUAAAAGUGGCUGUCACCAGACUAACUAGGCCUACUAUGAGCUCAUCAGUAAGUGCAAUAACUGAUCUUCAAUUCCAUGCUCUUUCAUUCUACUGUUGAUUUUUGAAUAAAUGUGUAUCAGAAUAUUGAAAUCAUUAUGUUAUUGUUAUGUCGAAAUUUAUCUAUUGAAAACAGUAAAUCAUGAGUAUGGUAUUAGUAACUAAUUAUCUCAUAAUAAAUAGGCGUGGAACAUUUUAGAUCAUUCAUUUUUCGCCAAUGUACACUGUUGUGAGUCGUUACGUAUAGACUGGGUUCCAGUCCCUAAACUUUGUCUUAUUCAGUAAUAAAGCUGGAAAAUCGAUUUUGGCA